UUUUUUUUCUCGAGCCGCCGCCGCCGCCCCUCCUCCAUAGCCAUGCCCGCGCCGCACCCGUCCCCCGUCCUCUCCGCGCCCGGCGGCCGGCGAGUCUAGGGCACGGGCUCCGGCGACCGACCACCACUACCACCACCUCCUCCUCCGGUUGCCUCCGGCCUCGCCUUCCCCCUUUCCCUCCCUCCUCCCGGCUGGAGGCUCCCUGACGGUCUGUCCCCACGUGGUGCGACAACUCAUUGCCAGAGGCCAUGGCGGCGGCGGCGCAGCAGCGGGGGAAGGCGGGCGGUGGCGGGGUGGAUCGGCUUCCUCAUCCAGGUCCUGCUCCAGAUCCUCCGGGGCACCCCGUCCCGCGCCCAGCUCAUGGGCUUCGUCGGCUUCCGCUACCCCUCCUCUCCGGGCCCGCGGCCUCCCUCUCCAGUUGCCGCGCUCGUCGUACAAGCCCUCGCCGGGCCACCCUGCCCCGUCGCCGUGCUCAGUGGAGAAGCCCUACCUCCUCCGCCUGAUCCUGCCUGCUUCCCCGGCCUUCUCGUGCUGCCGCCGCCGCCUCCUUCCGCAGGCGGCGUCUUGGCCUCACCCACCCCAACCUCCCUCGACUCCAUCAUCCACGCGAGGAAGCAAACCCAUCCUCCUUCGUAUUCUCUGGUUCAUCAGCGCCAAACAAGAGCAUAUCGUCCGGACAUCUUCAAGUCUUGGACCUCAACAAUGCAUUGGUCGAAUCUCACAGCCAUACCUAGGAAACUCAAGGAAAAUUGCUUGCUGUUGCACCACCCACACCAAAUGAUAUGACAUGCAGCCACAAGAUUAUCCAAAUCAGUUCUUUAAGUGACAUGCAGCCCCACCCCCACCAAAUGAUAUGACAGUGAAGCAAGUUGCUGACAAAUUGGCAAGUUUUGUUGCCAAAAAUGGGAGAUAGUUUGAGAAUAUCACACGGCAGAGGAAUCCUGGAGGUACACCAUUCAACUUGCUGAAGAGGAAAAGGCUCUUGGUCGAUCAAAUGAUGCUAAGCAUCAAAAAAUGCAUUGCAAGCUUCAAAGCACCAAGUGGUCCGUAUAGAAGCUCAUUUGAACAAAAGUCUUAACUAUCAGACAACUGCAUUAGCUUUGUAUGGGGCAUAUGAGGAACCUGUAGGUUCCACUCUUCCGCCUUUGCUGUUGCAAGAGUGUAUGGUGUGCCUUCAAUUGCGAUCUCGUUCAAUUGGUGAGCAUGCCUUGGACUGGGAGAUGUUCAGGCGUUGGCAUGAUGGCUGUUCCAUUGCAUUUAAUGAGCGGCUGAGCAGAGAAGAUCGAGCCAUGGAAGAUGGUUUACCAGGCUUGGCAAAUGUAUGGUUUGAGAGAGCACUUCAAACAUUUUCAUUACGUAAUAUCAUAACACACUAGCUUUUGUCCUAAUAGUUAUUUGUGAGCUACCAUGGUCAUGGCAACAGUAUUUGUGCUUGAAGGAGUAGCAGAAUUUAUUCAUGUAGUCAAGAUGAUGAGCCUGAUCAGAAGCAACAUUUAAUGAAGCAACUGCAUAACUACUGUUUGAACUCAGUUUUCUAAAAAUCAGAAAUGCCAUUUCUUUUUCUUUAUUUUUUCUUCAUAAUAAACAGCUGGGAAUGUGUUUAAGCUCUUACUUUAGUUUUCUUAGGUUCUUUCUCUAUAUAAAUGUCAGCCAACAUUUACAGGUACCAAUGCUUUGUCGAGGUACACUGAAAAAAAGAAUCAUCUGACUGUUACAUAAUGUGGUCUGUAACUACAUGGCUAGAGACCCCAUUUGUUUCUUGUAAUAUUGCCUGCAUAAAUAAAUUGACACUCAAGUUGCAUGGGGAACAUCUAAUGGCGAUAAUUGCAUAUUCUGAAGCUUCCUUGUUCUCUCUGAACUCUAAAUCCUGGCUAUUGCACCAUGCAGUAUAAAGCAUGGAAUGGAUAGUUGGAUACAGAAAGAGCCACCAUCAGAACAAAAGCCAUGAGGAUGUCAGUCAGAUUAACCAAGGACUCAUUGGCCUACUAGGAGCUAAAUAGCUUAUCAAAUGCAUGUAGCCAACUGUGGGAGCUCGAUAUGAACUGUCUCCUUCCUGCUAAGGACUACAGAAUUGGUUGUCAGGGGGAAGUAACUUUAUCAGAAGGGUGAUAUGACACAUGUUAGUUUGUUGAGCUGGCUAGGCGAUGAUGUGCUAAGAAAACCCACUAUGACAUAAGUAAACAACAUUGCAACACUAGCUUAUAUGAACUUAUCUAGGUCAUGUAUUUUAACAUCUAGAUUGCUUAGAUAAAUAGAUAGAAUGAUGCUUUAGGACAGAUAUAGUCAAGUACUUGUACUUAGAAGACAAUGUCUUUUAUUGCAGGAUGACUAACCAAAUGGCAGGAUAUGAUUUUGGUUCUUCAUACGCUUUUCCUGCGUGAAUUCAUACCUGAGUUCAGUCACUUGCUUUUCCCAUAUAGUUAGUCACAACUCACACUGUGAUACAUAGUUGAACAAUCCUUUUCCUAAUUCUCUGUUUUACAUCUUCAAAUUGAUACAGGUUAGCAAAGUUGUGCAGGCUGGCCUCACGGCUGCCUCUUUUUCAAGUCCUGCACUGGUGUGAUGCUAAGAGCCGAGCACAAAGGAUAUACAUGUGAUGGAUGAUGUUUCCCUCAAUAAUAAGGAGAGGGUAUUUAGUUCCUUUUCUUCCUGCAUAUAAUAUUAGAUAGAGAAUAGUGGAUCAUAUAUAUCUUCAGUAUAUCACAUGAAUCUCCUUGCAUGAGAUUUUACUUAGCUCUAUGGUAGUUCAAAAUUUUUUGUAUAAUCGGAAAUAUUGCGGAAGCUUACUUGAGUUUUUCCUUGCAAAUACUAUUUUGGACCCUUUUAGCUCUAUGGCAGCCGAAUGGGCAUUCAGCUACUUUUGAUGUGGGGUAUAUUACGAGGGUUCAUAUGUAGGGUCCAAUAGUGGCUUAGAUUGAUCAAAGGUGUCUCUUCUACCGAA